rnacentral:rRNA from 1 species
GACGAACGCUGGCGGCGUGCUUAACACAUGCAAGUCGAACGGUGAAAGCGGAGCUUGCUCCGCUGGAUCAGUGGCGAACGGGUGAGUAACACGUGGGCAACCUGCCCCUCACUUCGGGAUAACUCCGGGAAACCGGGGCUAAUACCGGACAUGACCUCCUUGGGCAUCCUUGGCGGUGGAAAGUUUCUCGGUGAGGGAUGGGCCCGCGGCCUAUCAGCGUGUUGGUGAGGUAGUGGCUCACCAAGGCGACGACGGGUAGCCGGCCGGAGAGGGCGACCGGCCACACUGGGACUGAGACACGGCCCAGACUCCUACGGGAGGCAGCAGUGGGGAAUAUUGCGCAAUGGGCGAAAGCCUGACGCAGCAACGCCGCGUGCGGGAUGACGGCCUUCGGGUUGUAAACCGCUUUCAGCAGGGAAGAAGCCGCAAGGUGACGGUACCUGCAGAAGAAGCACCGGCUAACUACGUGCCAGCAGCCGCCGUAA